rnacentral:rRNA from 1 species
GAUGAACGCUGGCGGCGUGCUUAACACAUGCCAGUCGAACGGAAAGGCCCAAGCUUGCUUGGGUACUCGAGUGGCGAACGGGUGAGUAACACGUGGGUGAUCUGCCCUGCACUUCGGGAUAAGCCUGGGAAACUGGGUCUAAUACCGGAUAGGACCACAUUUUGGAUGGUGUGGUGGAAAGUUUUUCGGUGUGGGAUGAGCUCGCGGCCUAUCAGCUUGUUGGUGGGGUAAUGGCCUACCAAGGCGUCGACGGGUAGCCGGCCUGAGAGGGUGUACGGCCACAUUGGGACUGAGAGACGGCCCAGACUCCUACGGGAGGCAGCAGUGGGGAAUAUUGCACAAUGGGCGCAAGCCUGAUGCAGCGACGCCGCGUGGGGGAUGACGGCCUUCGGGUUGUAAACUCCUUUCGCUAGGGACGAAGCGUCUUUGUGACGGUACCUGGAGAAGAAGCACCGGCUAACUACGUG